AAACGUAAAGAGAUAUUUCAUUGAUUUCAACAUUCAAUCAAAAUAAGACAUAUUAUAUUUCAACAUUUAAUUUAAAUAUGUCAUGAGUGACGUACCUUAAUAGAUGGUCUCAUGAGUUAUCUUCUAAAUUUUACGGGAGUGAACCUCCACAGAUUUGUCAUCAAUCAUUUGAUACUUUGAUACUGGAGGUAACAUCUCACACCAUACUUUUUAUCCUCAACUUUCUCAGUAUAAUUUUUUUCCCAAAGCAUUCCUAACAUCUCUAUCAGUAUUGUUGGAACUAGUAGUCAUACAAAUCAUCAACAAGUCCAUUAAGAUUAUAAUUCUUAUUAGUAUUCUCACAUAGGUUAAUUCUCCAACUGUCUUAUCCUUCGAGUUUCUGUUUCACUUUGUUUGUUGCUUAUAUUUAAAAGAACGUGACUUGGUUCGUUGCCCCCACUAUUUCUCCAUUUGACAGAGAAUUUAUUUUUAUAGAAGUCAACAUCAUUUGACUCUAUGAUCACUUUUGCAUGUAGGUCAUAAAACCUAUACGCUUUGUUCUUUACUCUAUACCCAAUGAAUACACAUUCAUAGGCUCUACUGACGAAUUUAAUUCACUUGAGAUCAGAGAUUUUGACAUAAGCCAAACAACCCCAAGUUUGAAAAUUAGAUGUAUUAUUUUUAGAUUUAUGAACUAUAUUCAAAUCAUAUCAAAUAAGAAAUAUAUUGUCUGCACACCAAUGAGAUGCAUCACUAGAGCUAAGCCUACUAGCAACAACUAAUUCAAUGAGAUUUUUUUUUUUAACUAUACCAUUCACUUCAAGCAAUUAUGGUGCAGUUAUUUCAUACAUAAUUCUAGACAAUUUAUAAAACUUACUAAAUAAACUAGAAUCAUACUUGGAACCUCUUAAUAUUUCUACUAAAUUGAUUUAUAAUUUCAGUUACAAAGAUUCUUAACAUGUCAAACGUAAAGAGAUAUUUCAUUGAUUUCAACAUUCAAUCAAAAUAAGACAUUAUAUUUCAACAUUUAAUUUAAAUAUGUAAUGAGUGACGUACCUUAAUAGAUGGUCUCAUGAGUUAUCUUCUAAAUUUUACGGGAGUGAACCUCCACAGAUUUGUCAUCAAAUCAUUUGAUACUUUGAUACUGGAGGUAACAUCUCACACCAUACUUUUUAUCCUCAACUUUCUCAGUAUCAUUUUUUUCCCAAAGCAUUCCUA
rnacentral:lncRNA from 1 species